rnacentral:rRNA from 1 species
UACGGAGGGUGCAAGCGUUAUCCGGAUUCACUGGGUUUAAAGGGUGCGUAGGCGGGUAAGUAAGUCCGUGGUGAAAUCUCUGAGCUUAACUCAGAAACUGCCGUGGAUACUAUUUGCCUUGAAUAUUGUGGAGGUGAGCGGAAUAUGUCAUGUAGCGGUGAAAUGCUUAGAUAUGACAUAGAACACCAAUUGCGAAGGCAGCUCACUACACAAUCAUUGACGCUGAGGCACGAAAGCGUGGGGAUCAAAACAGG